AAUAAACGCUGGCGACGUGCCUAACACAUGCAAGUCGAGCGGGGAUAGUCCUUCGGGAUGAUUCCUAGCGGCAGACGAGUGAGUAAAGCGUGAGAAUCUUCCCUUCAGUAAAGAAUACUCCCGAGAAAUUGGGCUUAAUACUGUAUACUUCCCUUCGGGGAGAAAGAUGGCCUCUUGCUAUCGCUGAAGGAUGAGCUUACGUGCUAUCAGCUAGUUGGUAGGGUAAAGGCCUACCAAGGCUAUGACGGUUAGCCGGCCUGAGAGGGUGUACGGCCACGCUGGAACUUAGAUACGGUCCAGACUCCUACGGGAGGCAGCAGUGGGGAAUAUUGCGCAAUGGGCGAAAGCCUGACGCAGCGACGUCGCGUGAAGGAUGAAGGUCUUCGGAUUGUAAACUUCUGUUAAGUGGGAAGAAAGCUCUGCCAAUAAUACGGGCAGAGGAUGACGGUACCAUUAGAGAAAGCACCGGCUAACUUCGUGCCAGCAGCCGCGGUAAGAC
rnacentral:rRNA from 1 species